UACAGAGGUCUCAAGCGUUGUUCGGAUUCAUUGGGCGUAAAGGGUGCGUAGGCGGCGCGGUAAGUCGGGUGUGAAAUCUCGGAGCUUAACUCCGAAACUGCAUUCGAUACUACCGUGCUUGAGGACUGGAGAGGAGACUGGAAUUUACGGUGUAGCGGUGAAAUGCGUAGAUAUCGGAAAGAACAUCAGUGGCGAAGGCGACAACCUGGCUCUUAACUGACACUGAGGCGCGAAGGCGUGGGGAGCAAACAGG
rnacentral:rRNA from 1 species